rnacentral:lncRNA from 1 species
GGGAGUUUGGAUCUGCACAGGACUCAAAAAUGCAGGGAUCAGAUCACACCCAGGACUUCAGGAGAGCUGCAAAUUUCAUAGUAUUAUCUGUGUGGAUGCUCUGCAUGGCUGAUAACUAUAAUGCAUAUGGAUAUAUGCAGCACUUUCUGCCAAAGGAUCUCCAAACCCUUUAUACUGGGGAACUAACCCUCACAACUCUGCGGCUAGAAAGGAGACCUCUGCCGCCCUUCAGCCCCAAGCUCUUUGGCUACAAGGCUGAGGCCGAGAGCUGCAGACACUUCUGUCCUGACACGGGAAAACAGCCGCAUUCACCAGCUCUCAGGGAGCCCUGGCCAUGA